AGUUCGAUUAUGGCUCAGAUUGAACGCUGGCGGGAUGCUUUACACACGCCUGCAAGUCGAACGGCAGCACGGACUUCGGUCUGGUGGCGAGUGGCGAACGGGUGAGUAAUGUAUCGGAACGUGCCUGGUAACGCGCCGGGAGAUAACUACGCGAAGGCAGCGCUAAUACCGCACGCCCAUCCGGGGAAAGCGGGGACUGGGCGUCGCACUAUUAGAGCGGCCGAUAUCGGAUUAGCUAGUUGGUGGGGUAACGGCUCACUGAGCGGCGAUCCGUAGCUGGUUUGAGAGGACGACCAGCCACACUGGACCAGACCACGGCCAGACUCUGCAGGAGGCAGCAGUGGGAAUUUUGGACAAUGGAAACCCUGACCAGCCAUCCCGCGUGUGCGAUGAUGACCUUCGGGUUGUAAAAGCACUUUUGGCAGGAAAGAAACGGCACGGGAUAACACCCCACGUCAACUGACGGCUUCCCUGCAGAAUAACCUGGCUAACUACGUGCCAGCAGCCGCGGUAGCGUAGGGUGCAGCGUUAAUCGGAAUUACUGGGCGCUGCAGCAAUGCGCAGGCGGUUCGGAAGAAAGAUGUGAAAUCCCAGAGCUUAACUUUGGAACUGCAUUUUUUAACUACCGACUAGGUGUUGUCAGGGGAGAUUAAAUUCCGCGAUAGCAGUGAAAUGCGUAGAUAUGGAGGAACACCGAUGGCGGAGGCAGCCUCCUGGGAUAACACUGACGCUCAUGCACGAAAACGUGGGAGCAAACGGGAUUAGAUACCCUGGUAGUCCACGCCCUAAACGGUAUCAACAGCUGUUGGGGCCUUCGGGCCUUGUUGUACAACUAACGCGUAAGUUGACCGCCUGGGGAAUUACGGUCGCAAGAUUAAAACUCAAAGGUCAGCAGGGACCGCACAGCGGUGGAUGAUGUGGAUUAAUUCGAUGCAACGCGAAAAACCUUACCUACCGCCGGCAUAAUACCGGAGAUCCCGAAGAGAUUUGGGAGUCGCCCAUAGAAACCGGAACACAGGUGCUGCAUGGCUGUCGUCAGCUCGUGUCGUGAGAUGUUGGGUUAAGUCCCGCAACGAGCGCAACCCUUAUCAUUAGUUGCUACGAAAGAGGGCACUCUAUUGGACACUGCCGGUGAUAAACCAGCGGAGGAAGGUGGGGAUGACGUCAAGUCCUCAUGGCCCAUAUGGGUAGGGCUUCACACGUCAUACAAUGGUCAGGACAGAGGGUCGCCAGCCCGAGGGGAGCCAAUCCCGAAACCCGAUCGUAGUCCGGAUCGCAGUCUACAGCUCACGACUGCGUGAAGUCGGAAUCCGCUGGUAAUCGCGGAUCAGCAUGUCGCGAGUGAUCAUUCGGGUCUUGUACACACCGCCCAAUCACACCAUGGAGUGGGUUUUACCAGAAGUAGUUAGCCUAACCGUAAGGAGGCGAUUACCACGGUAGGAUUCAUGACUGGGGUGAAGUCGUAACAAAGAUAG
rnacentral:rRNA from 1 species